GGCGGCAUGCCUAACACAUGCAAGUCGAACGAAGGCUUCGGCCUUAGUGGCGCACGGGUGAGUAACACGUGGGAACCUGCCUUAUGGUUCGGGAUAACGUCUGGAAACGGACGCUAACACCGGAUGUGCCCUUCGGGGGAAAGUUUACGCCAUGAGAGGGGCCCGCGUCCGAUUAGGUAGUUGGUGGGGUAAUGGCCCACCAAGCCGACGAUCGGUAGCUGGUCUGAGAGGAUGAUCAGCCACACUGGGACUGAGACACGGCCCAGACUCCUACGGGAGGCAGCAGUGGGGAAUAUUGGACAAUGGGGGCAACCCUGAUCCAGCAAUGCCGCGUGAGUGAUGAAGGCCUUAGGGUUGUAAAGCUCUUUCGCACGCNACGAUGAUGACGGUAGCGUGAGAAGAA
rnacentral:rRNA from 1 species